rnacentral:lncRNA from 1 species
AUGCUGGAAACAAAAGGGCAUCAACAAGUAGAAAAUAAGAGAAUUAGGCAGGCAAGUGGAACAAGCAAUGAAUCUGAGCCACAAAGCUACCCAUCAUCACAGAGUCAGAUGCCGUCAGAACCGAGUAAACAAGAAUUGGAUCUCCAGGUUAACACUGGAGUCAUUUCAACAGCUUCAAAACAACCAUCCACUAGAGAUUCUCAAUCAAAGACACCAGAAACCCUGACUCCCUCCUCCUCUUCACCACCAUCAGUUCAUCCUUCUGCAGAACCCAGCCCAAAACAACCGGUACAUCCCCCUGCCCCACUAUCUCCUAUUCACUCAGCACAUCCAAACUGUGUGGGAGAAAAAGAUCUUUGUAAUGAUGAUGAUAGUGGAAUGAAAGGACGACAGAUCAAAAUGAUAAAAGAUGAAGAAUGUGAAGUUGAAAAUGCAGGAUCUUCCUGUGAUAGAGAAACUUCAGAGAACAGACGGUCAGUCCCUCCCACAAAGGAUGCAGCAGAGACAGAUGCACAGCAUUUUGAAAAUCUGAGUAAAAAUGUGAAUGUAUCAGAGCAACAAAAUUUUGGGGGUGUUGGGGUUAUCGUCUCUGCUCGAUCUGAAGUGAAUACUGAAACAAGCAAGCACACAGGAGCCAGAUCACCACAUUAUGGUGUUUCUCAAUACUCAAAUAAACGUAGCAAUCCUGAGGACCAACGUGAUGUGAAUGUCUUAAGAGAGACUAGAAAUCACAAUGGAGAAGGGGAGAUGUGCAUGGAAACAUAUGCAUCACAAUAUAUUUCCCCUAAACAAGAAUUUGGCCAAAGCCCUCAACCCUCAAUUCAGUCUCACCCAGCGUCAUUUAAAUACAGUAAUCCUGAGGUACAUUAUAAUGCAGCAAAGAGUAAAGGAAAGUUAGGACUAGCGAGUAGUAUGGGCACAAAUAGAUGCCAGAAUUAUCAUCAGCUGCAGGCCAGCUAUGGGUCUAUUGACAGGAAGGAGAUUGGUGUUUUUGCUAUGGAAGGGGGGAGGGCUAUUGUCUCAAGAAGCCAAGAUAGCAGUUCUCAGUUUCAGCAAUCGUUUCCAAGUCUUUUGCAAGAAGUCCUCCAGGGUCAUCACUUAGAUAGACGCUAUGGGCGUCCUGACCAGACAUCUAGUGUUCACCAACAACCUCAAGAUACAUACCAGCACCGUUAUCAAACUAGACUACCUUACAGUAUGAUUGAAAUGGGCCCUCAAACACUUAUAAGUGGACUUAAUGUCAAGUUGAAUCAAAUGGCCUCUGGGAAACCACCAAAUUCAAGUCAAAAUCAGGGACUGGAUAAUGAUAUAGUUUUGGGCCCUCCUCAUCCCUCCUGGGAUUCUGAAGCACAUAAGCCCAAUGUGACUCGUGGGAUCUCUUUAGAAAAAGGCAAAACCAGUCUGUCUCCCAGCCAGUCCUCCCACAUGCAGCAGUCUUUAGAUCUCACAACAGGAGCCCCCUCAAAGCACAUUAACUUGGCUGACUAUUCUUUGCAGAACAGAAAACCAUCCAGAUACGGUACCUCUCCUUCUGCUGUGGAACAAUUGCUUUUACAGGAAGCUGAGCCAUUGGCAUGUGGUGUAGGUCCUAUCAGUCACAAUCAAUCUCAGACAUCCUCAUCCUCAGGACGCCGCUCAGUAAUCUGUGAUGUGUCCCCUUCUCGACGAACAACACCAGAAAGAGAGAGAGGACACUCCGGGCCCUCUGGACCCUCAGUCAUUCAGCAGCCAUUUUCGGCAUCUGGAUCAAAUGAACAAGAUUGUUGCAAGGAAGAAACAAAAGCAAAGAAAGCACAAAACAAGGAGGACUCAAUAAAGACAGAAACUGCAGGUCAGAACACAGAUGGUUACUGCAGCACGCCACCCAGUAAGGAAUCUAAUAAGCCCCCUUCAUCCCCCUGUAGAUGUUGCUUCUGA